GUUUUACUAGUCUAUUUGGAACAUUGGCCUUGAAAAUUUCUUUAAAGCUGUUGUUGGAUUGGUUCAGUUGGACUGGCAUGAACGAUGAGUAUCCAUGAUAGUGAAAGAAAAGAACAUCGGCAGAAGAUAUGGUGUCAUUGAAUGUGAUCCACUAGUUCGCAAGGGCCUCGAAAGAACUUUGGGAGCAACUGCUGUCAAUUUGGUUGCUAGAGAAAAACCUGCUGAUGUUUACUCAGGAAUAGCUGCUAGAUCACAUUGACUGCAUUGGGAGAGAUGUUUCAAGCUGCUCGUAGUAUCAUGGGCUGGCUCGGCGACUGUGCAAAGGGAAUUGAUAUGCAUAGGACAAAGUUGCUAAACAUUUGAAGUGGCUAAAACAAUAUCGAUGGGGCCAUCAUUGAAAAGUGGAUCAAAAGUUGGGAAAAGUGGAUCAAAAGUUCACGAACCAGACCAACACCCUCCCCAACAUAUUUCUUAACAAGUUCACGAAGCUAAAUUGUACAAGACUACUUGGCAGUAUGAGCAUUUUUUGGAGGAUUAAAUAUUUGUGGAUAGAUGUGUAUGGAUAACAAAUAUUAGUAGUUUUAUUUGUUGAUAGCUGCGCAUGGAUAACAAAUAGUUAUGUUUCAAAUUGUUAUGCUAGAUGGAUGUGACUUG